UACGGAGGGUGCAAGCGUUAAUCGGAAUUACUGGGCGUAAGGCGCACGCAGGCGGUCUGUCAAGUCGGAUGUGAAAUCCCCGGGCUCAACCUGGGAACUGCAUUCGAAACUGGCAGGCUGGAGUCUUGUAGAGGAGGGUAGAAUUCCAGGUGUAGCGGUGAAAUGCGUAGAGAUCUGGAGGAAUACCGGUGGCGAAGGCGGCCCCCUGGACAAAGACUGACGCUCAGGUGCGAAAGCGUGGGGAGUAAACAGGAUUAGAUACCCUGGUAGUCCACGCUGUAAACGAUGUCGACUUGGAGGUUGUUCCCUUGAGGAGUGGCUUCCGGAGCUAACGCGUUAAGUCGACCGCCUGGGAAGUACGGUCGCAAGAUUAAA
rnacentral:rRNA from 1 species